rnacentral:piRNA from 1 species
UGUUAAGCCCCAGACUUCUGUGUGUCUCC